GAAAUAUAUCUUUUCGUGUGAAUUGUUUUGUGAAAUAUUUUAGUAGAAAUUUUAUCAUAUGUAUUUUAGCACGUCAGAACACCAGGACAAUCUCUACAAGACAAAAUUGGUUGAACAGGCCGUACAGACAUGGCUGCGCCCAUGAAGAACUUCGUUGUGAUGACUGUGGAGGCGCGCAAAAUGUUCUCAACUCCAUGCAAUGACACUACAACGGAAGGCAAAGCAUUCUACUACAAGAUGCGGGGAUUCGCUAUUUGGCCGAAUUCACCAUUGGCUGGAACCACAUGGAGGCGUCAGAGCAGUCGCUGUGCUCUUACAAUACUGCCUGGGAAUUCGCAACCGAUUUGGCUCCAUCGUAGUAGGCCAUCGACUUGGUACAGCCCGCUUUCGAUGAUGCCAGUGAUGAACUGGAUAAACUGAACUCAUCAUGUAGCUGCUGCGUGACAACCUUACACUAUGGACAUCUGCCUAGCAGCUACAAACGGCGUCAGCUGACAAUGCCACAGUUGUCGCGAACCUAAGAACCUGAUUGAGAAGGGACAGGUGAAAGGAUAAGUAUUAAUUUAAGUAGACAUGCACCCGUCAUUUAAGCACCACACUUUGAAUUAUUUGAGAACAACACCAUAAAGUCAUGUGACAACCUGUAACCCCGUGCCGCCCGACAUGCAGGUGAUGGCCAGACGAAGGACAUAAACCACAAAAACAUGGAAACAGAAUUACAAAAAGGAAUACCAAAACAGUUCUCGAGAAUAACUAGAACAUUUACCGAUAUUUGAAAGAUUAAAAUCUUGCAACAGAAGCAGCAACAACACUGGUAGACGUGGAUAUUUCAAAAAGACUUCCUUUUCCCCCGUGAGCGCCCCAGUUGUUAUAAAUAAUAGCCUAACAAAAAGGUGUUAUUUAGAAUUGUGAAAAUCAGAG